rnacentral:rRNA from 1 species
AUGGCGGAGCUCGCGUCGGGCGCCGUGAGCUCGCUGCUGGGCGUCAUCCGCAACGAGGCCCUGCUGCUGGGCCGCGUCCGGCAUGACGUGCAGUUCAUCCAGGAGGAGAUGGAGAGCAUGCAGAGCUUCCUGGCGCACCUGUCAAAGAAGGCGCCCGGCGGUGGCGACCAGGACGAGCAGAUGCGCACGUGGAUGAACCAGGUCCGGCUGCUCGCCCAGGACAGCAACAACUGCAUCGACAUGUACCUGUACCGCGGCAACCCCGAGCUCCAUCUCGCCAGGGGCGGCCUCCGGCGCUACGUCUUCUGGUUUCCCUGGUUUGUUCACAAGAUGGUGGCGCAGCGUCGCGCGGCCGUCCAGCUGGGUGUCCUCAGGGAAAGGGCGCAUGACAUUGGCGAGCGGCGAACCAGGUAUGGUGUUGAGGUCCCGGCAAAGGAGGCGGCAGCGGCACUGUCGCCUACAGCGGAGGAGCAAGCGUCCGCAUCAUCCGCUAGUUCCGAUGAUGAAAAAGAAAAGAGCAACGAUCAACUCAUGCUAGCAGUGGCAACGACUAACCAUUCUGGUGUAAGAGGGGCAUUUUACCAGCCUCGUACGCCGGAGGAGAACACUAGGGUGAAGCUAGCCGAAUGGAUAGAGGAUGUCGCACAAUGCGGCACUGCUAUGGGGGAGCCCAUACCAUCGGUCGCCGUUGUGGCACAGGAUAAAGAGGAAACCCUGGCUAUUGCGAACGAAGCUUCGGCAAUGUGGGAAAAACGUUGUCCCCACUGGCGCAGUGUCAUGGUCGACAUCCCAGCAGUGCACAUCCAGUCCCGAACCCUUCGAACUCGGGACAUUCUGUACUACAUCCUGCGGAAGCUUCAGUCUGUCGAACCCCAGCCCCAGCAACAGGAAGGUCAAGUCGGUGAAGAGGAGGCUGAAAAAAUAAGAUUUGUUAUUCGCUUAGAAAAAUGGAAGCUGCUCGAUGAAGUCACAGAACAAAUCCAAGCAAUGAAGGUGGACAACAAACUUUCUGAAAUCAAGAACACCAUGGAACAAAUGAAGGGCGGACAACUGCAGAUCAACCUACAACAAAUGGAUGAAGACCUGCUGGGUCUGCCAGAAUCUGUUAAAGAUCAACCCUUAUGGGUACUCCUUCGAGCGCUGUGGCAGCUCAAGCACAAGCCUAUUGAAGGUGAGCCUACUACCAAACAAGACCAAGAAUGGAAGGAAGACAGAUUCACGCACGAAUAUAUCAUCAAGAGAACAGCCGAGAAGCUUAAAGGGCAUAUGGAAGAAGAUGCAGACACAAAGGCAAUUCGUCUCAAAGAAGCCCAUUAUGAACAGAUCCUAAGGGAGGUGUUCCCCCCGGUGACCACCAAGAAGAACCCGCAGAUCCAGGAGCAAGCCACCGCCGUCAGCGCCACUAGCACCAUUAUAUUGGUCGAGGAUCAAAUCAAAGAAAUGAUCCGUAAGGUCCUUCAGGAGAAAUCCGUGCACAAACCAGGUGCUGAGCUACAGGAAGACAAAACCAUGAAGAAACCAGGUCCAGCUGAGCUGCAGGAAGACAAAUCCAUGAAGAAAAUAGAUACAACUGAUGGUAUACAAAGUCAGCAUUGUAUCCCCAAUGCUCUAAUUGAAGAAACCAUAGCAAAGAUUCAGGAAAUCGAGUGCACGAUGCAAGACCAGCUCCAGAUCAAAAGAAUCAUGGACAAAAUUGAAGAUUGUUUGACGGGACAAGAUGAAAAGAUCCUGGUUAUCCUCAAACUCGAUGCUGACUGGGUAUCCAGAUGGAAGGAGACCAAAAAUGCUUUCAGCAUGUUUGGUUGCAUAGCCGGUGCACUGAUGUUGACAUUCAAAGAUAAGAUAGCACGAGCCAAAGAAUAUUGUUGGCCACUGCGGGAGCCUAUAGACUAUAGUCUUCUUGGCUUCUACCAUGAUACUGCACUUGAGCUUACAAAAAACCACAUGCUUGAAGAUAACCCAAAGAUUUAUCUUGACAUCUUGGACAAGUGUAAGCACCAUGAAUUCUGCAUGAAGAUCUUCAUUCAUGCUUUGCACGCCAACCCCAAGAGGAGCAAUGAGGAGCUAAGCAAGUUGCACAAAGCCCUGCAGCCGGUACAUCAAGCUUCACACACAUCUGCACACAACUCAUUGGACAGCAAUAUCAUUGCUAAGAAGAUGUUCAUGUUCUCUUACAGUGACCUGCCUAAGGAAUACAGGUCCUGCUUGCUAUACCUAGCAAUUUUCCCUCGAAGACAACACAUCAGGCGGUCAACCUUGAUAGGACGGUGGGUUGUAGAGGGGUUGAUAACCAAGCAAGACUGGGCCAGCUCUGUGCGACAUGCCAAUCGAUGUUUUGAGGCGCUCAUUAACCGGUGGCUUCUUUAUCCUGCUGAUAUUGGUGCUACAGGACAGGUGAAGAGCUGUGUGAUAGGUGAUGUAGUUCAUGGAUUCAUAACCAAGAUCGCCAGGAAACAGCGCAUUGUAGAAACACGCCUGUCACAUUACUUGGCUCGCCACUUCUCCAUUUUCAACAAUCUCCGAAUCCGUCGCUCUGAUACAAUCAACAGAUUCUUUGAAAAGCUCUAUGAAGAAUCAUUUCGAGUAUCCAUUAUCAAGGUGCUAGAUCUAGAAGGUUGUAAAUGCUUUGGUGGUAAGAACCAGCGGUACCUCAAGGACAUCUGCAGGACGAUGUUACUGCUCAAGUAUCUGAGUCUAAGAAAAACAGAUGUUAAACAGCUGCCUAGUGAAAUCAACAACCUCCGUGAGCUGGAAGUAUUGGAUAUUCGGGACACCGAUGUGCCUGAGUCUGCAACAGUAAAUGUCCUACUCCUGAAGCUGAAGCAUUUGUUGGCUGGACACGUUGUGCUGAACUCAGUGCCUUGUGUUCCUGACAAGAUUGGAAAAAUGUUAAACAUGGAGGUAUUGUCCAAUGUCAAGGCACGAAAUCAUCAAGUUUUGAAAGAUAUUGGAAAGUUGUGGCAGCUGAGGAAGCUUGGUGUGGUUAUUGAAGACAAUGACAAACUCGUUAGGAAUUUGCUUCGAGCUAUCAGCGACCUGCAUGAGUGCCUCAAGUCUCUGUCAAUCACUCUUCCCAUGACUGACCAAGAUCCUUCCACCGAAGAUUUUCCAAUUGAUGUUCUCGAAUAUUAUAAACACCCUCCCAAGCUUCUUGAGAGCCUAAGCAUUACUGGAACCACAAAAAACAGGCAACUUCUUCAACUGCUGACCAAAGAUAAUGACUUCUUCCAACUUGCGAAGAUAACUCUAACUGGAACCCGACUGAAGCAGGAUAAUCUGAAGGUCCUCAACCAGCUUCCCAAUAUAGUUUGUCUCAGGCUCCGGGAAAAAGCAUACAUCGAUGACAAUCUCACCUUCAAGAAUGAAGAAUUCAAAAAUCUCAAGUGCUUUCUUGUUGAGGGCUCCAACAUGACUGACAUCUUGUUUGAAGGUGGAGCCCAUAAGCUGGAGAAGAUCAUUUUAUGCUCAACUGAUGGCAUACAAUCUCUUUCUGGGGUCGAAGCCCUUCCAGAACUGAAGGAAGUCAAGUUGAACAACAACAACAAUAAGCUUUCAUUGUUUGACAAGGCUGAGAAAGUUUCCAAGGUGACUCUCUGUAGUACCAAACUGAGUGAAGAUGACCUGAAAAUGUUCGCCAAGAUACGAUAUGUGCGCUGCCUAAUCCUGAAGGAGAAAGCUUGUGUUGAAAGCCAGAUUAAGUUCAACAAAGAUGAGUUCCCAAGUCUCAACCUUCUUAUUGUCGAUGGUUCUGCCAUCACCAACAUAGGGUUCGCCAAUGGAUCUGCUCCUAAGCUCGAGAAGAUCAUCUGGUCAUUCACAGAGGACAAGGUGCGGAGUCUCUCUGGCAUUGACAACCUACCAAAAUUGAAAGAGCUCGAGUUCAAUGGCGACUUGAUCCCUGGUGAGUUGAAAGAAGCAAUUAACAAACAUAAAAAUAAACCCAAUCUUAUACACAACAAACCAGAAAACCAAUACCAAGAAAUGGGAAACAUAAAAGAAAUGGGCAAGGCCGCAAGAUUCCCAUCCUGCUGGAAGAGCCAGGAUUGA